rnacentral:rRNA from 1 species
GACGAACGCUGGCGGCGUGCCUAAUACAUGCAAGUUGAGCGCUGAAGGUUGGUACUUGUACCAACUGGAUGAGCAGCGAACGGGUGAGUAACGCGUGGGGAAUCUGCUUUUGAGCGGGGGACAACAUUUGGAAACGAAUGCUAAUACCGCAUAAAAACUUUAAACACAAGUUUUAAGUUUGAAAGAUGCAAUUGCAUCAUUCAAAGAUGAUCUCGCGUUGUUUUAGCUAGUUGGUGAGGUAAAGGCGCACCAAGGCGGUGAUACAUAGCCGACCUGAGAGGGUGGUCGGCCACAUUGGGACUGAGACACGGCCCAAUGUCCUACGGGAGGCAGCAGUAGGGAAUCGUCAGCAAUGGGCGAAAGUCUGACCGAGCAGCGCCGCGUGAGUGAAGAAGGUUGUCGGGUCGUAAAACUCUGUUGGUAGGGAAGAACGUUGGUGAGAGUGGAAAGCUCAUCAAGUGACGGUAACUACCCAGAAAGGGACGGCUAACUACGUG